GAGGGUAUAGCUCAUGCUUAGGAUGCAUGAGGUCCUGGGUUCAAUCCCCAGUACCUCCU
rfam:Camelus ferus unplaced genomic scaffold scaffold978, whole genome shotgun sequence.